UUAGGGUUCGAUUCCGGAGAGGGAGCCUGAGAAACGGCUACCACAUCCAAGGAAGGCAGCAGGCGCGCAAAUUACCCAAUCCCGACACGGGGAGGUAGUGACAAUAAAUAACAAUACGGGGCUCAUUUGGGUCUCGUAAUUGGAAUGAGUACAAUUUAAAUCUCUUAACGAGGAACAAUUGGAGGGCAAGUCUGGUGCCAGCAGCCGCGGUAAUUCCAGCUCCAAUAGCGUAUAUUAAAGUUGUUGCAGUUAAAAAGCUCGUAGUUGAACUUCGGGGUCUACCCAUUGGUCAGGCUUAAUUGUCUGCACUGGUGAGAUGGAUCUCUACCUUCUGAGGAACUUUCAUGCCAUUUAUUUGGUGUGGUUGGAAAUCAGGACUGUUACUUUGAAAAAAUUAGAGUGUUUAAAGCAGACUAUCGUCUGAAUACAUUAGCAUGGAAUAAUGAAAUAGGACGGACUGAUUCUAUUUCGUUGGUUUCUAGGAUCACCGUAAUGAUUAAUAGGGAUAGUUGGGGGCAUUAGUAUUCAAUUGUCAGAGGUGAAAUUCUUGGAUUUAUUGAAGACUAACUACUGCGAAAGCAUUUGCCAAGGAUGUUUUCAUUAAUCAAGAACGAAAGUUAGGGGAUCGAAGACGAUCAGAUACCGUCGUAGUCUUAACCAUAAACUAUGCCGACUAGGGAUCGGACGAAGUUAAUUUUAUAAUGACGCGUUCGGCACCUUACG
rnacentral:rRNA from 1 species